rnacentral:misc_RNA from 1 species
AAAAUAAUCCUACCCUUUGUGAAUUUUGUUUGUUUGAAUAAUUUUUUUUUUAAAAAAUUAUUGGAGUCUUUCCCUUUAGAGUUUGCUUUUGAGUUUGUAAAAGAAUUCGAAAACAUCUAAAGGGGAUGGUCAAUAAUUUUUUUUGAAAAAAGACAUUUUUUAAAAUUAAACUUUUUGUAUUCAUUUGUCUAAAAAUUAUUUUUAUAAUAUAAAAACAACUUUUGACAAUGGAUCUCUUGGUUCUCGCAACGAUGAAGAACGCAGCAAAAUGCGAUAAGUAGUGUGAAUUGCAGAAUACGUGAAUCAUCGAAUCUUUGAACGCAUAUUGCACUUUUUUAGUUUACUAAAAAAGUAUGUCUGUUUGAGUAUCAGUAAAUAUUCUCAUAAAAAUCAUUGUGUAUUUUUAUGGUUAUGAGUGUUUUACAACGAUACAAGUUGUUUCACUUUAAAUUUUUUUUUAAUAUCGAAAUUUUUCUAAUUUUAAUAAUUAAAAUUGGAUAAAAUUUUCCCGUCAAAAGGAAUAACCUAAACAAUUUUAAACGAUUAAUUUUAGCAAAAUUUUCGUAAAAAAGGAAAUUUUUAUUAAAAUAACUUGAUCUCAAAUCAGAUAAGAGUACCCGCUGAACUUAAGCAUAUCAAUAAGCGGAGGAAAAGAACUAACAAGGAUUCCCUUAGUAACGGCGAGUGAAGCGGGAAGAGCUCAAAUUUGAAAUCUUCAAGGUUUUACCUUGACGAAUUGUAGUUUAGAGAAGUGUUUUCUGCUGAAGUUUUGGUAAAAGUUCUUUGGAAUAGGACAUCAUAGAGGGUGAGAAUCCCGUAUUUGACCAUUAUUUUCAGCUUUGUGAUACACUUUCAAAGAGUCGGAUUGUUUGGGAAUGCAGUCCAAAAUGGGUGGUAAAUUUCAUCUAAAGCUAAAUAUUGGCGAGAGACCGAUAGCGAACAAGUACCGUGAGGGAAAGAUGAAAAGAACUUUGAAAAGAGAGUUAAACAGUACGUGAAAUUGUCAAAAGGGAAGCGUUUGACACCAGUGUUGUUUUCUCGAAAAUCAAUUAAAAAUGGCUCGAUUUUGUAUUGCUGAGACCUUAAAAGCUCACUGUACAUUUUUCGUGUCUUUUUUAAUGCACUUUUCGUUUAACAAGUCAACAUCAGUUUCUUUUGUUGUAAAAGGGUCAUUGGAAGGUGGCUUUCGUUUCGGAGAAAGUGUUUAUAGCCUUUGGCCUCUGCAAUCGGAGAGACUGAGGUCUGCAGCGUAGACUCUUCGGGGUUAGAUACAUUUGUGCUAAGUUAUAGCUUUUUAUAGACAACUUGUUGACUAUAAUUAGUCUUGUAGCUUACUCGCUUAUGCUAUUUUACCUACGCUUAGGAUG